UGGGGAAUCUUGGACAAUGGGGGCAACCCUGAUCCAGCCAUGCCGCGUGAGUGAUGAAGGCCUUAGGGUCGUAAAGCUCUUUCGCCUGUGAAGAUAAUGACGGUAGCAGGUAAAGAAACCCCGGCUAACUCCGUGCCAGCAGCCGCGGUAAUACGGAGGGGGUUAGCGUUGUUCGGAAUUACUGGGCGUAAAGCGCACGUAGGCGGACCAGAAAGUUGGGGGUGAAAUCCCGGGGCUCAACCCCGGAACUGCCUCCAAAACUAUUGGUCUAGAGUUCGAGAGAGGUGAGUGGAAUUCCAAGUGUAGAGGUGAAAUUCGUAGAUAUUUGGAGGAACACCAGUGGCGAAGGCGGCUCACUGGCUCGAUACUGACGCUGAGGUGCGAAAGUGUGGGGAGCAAACAGGAUUAG
rnacentral:rRNA from 1 species